rnacentral:lncRNA from 10 species
GGACCACUCAAUCUGGCAAUGGUUUACAGAUAUUGUUGCAAGAUCAAUAAGAAAUUAAAGUCCAUUACAAUGUUAAGGAAGAAAAUUGUUCAUUUUACUGGCUCUGAUCAGAGAAAACAAGCAAAUGCUGCCUUCCUUGUUGGAUGCUACAUGGUUAUAUAUUUGGGGAGAACCCCAGAAGAAGCAUAUAGAAUAUUAAUCUUUGGAGAGACAUCCUAUAUUCCUUUCAGAGAUGCUGCCUAUGGAAGUUGCAAUUUCUACAUUACACUUCUUGACUGUUUUCAUGCAGUAAAGAAGGCAAUGCAGUAUGGCUUCCUUAAUUUCAACUCAUUUAACCUUGAUGAAUAUGAACACUAUGAAAGAGAGACCAAGUCUCGCUCUGUUACCUAGGCUGAAGUGCAGUGGUAUACAUGGCUCACUGCAGCCUUGAACUUCUGGGAUUAAAUGAUCCUCUCUCUU